CACUCUGAAACAUUGUAAAACAUGGAGAGUUUAAAUUUUAAACCAUUUUAUCAUUCACGGGGUAUACACUACGCCCAGUUUAUUUGCCCCUGCUUAGCUUAGUCAUCACAACCAGAAAAAAUCGCAGCGUGCUUCAUCAGACCAUUUUCAUUAAGUUUUGAUUGCUCUCAUCGUAAUUACGAAAAAAUCUACUUUAAUUGGUUAGCUUUAGCACAUUGACCAAUGUUCCAAGGAAUAAAAAGGAAAAUGGCCAACAACACUUAGCAGAACCGGAACCUAGACGGACGGAUACCAGCUCAAAACGACACGCUUCGGAAGGACAACAGUGCAAUUUUUCGACGUGAUGAAGAUUGAGAAUUGUUCCGCUCCGGCGGCGGUGGAUUCCGUAACGGCCGUGGGACUGGCAGCGGGAUCCAAGCAGGGAUCCGGUCAUGGCCAUGACGAGGUCGACGACGGGGAAAACAAAGAUCAUAAUGCGGCGGAAUCGAGAGCCGAGGAAUUUGUGACCGUUGCCAGGUGUCGGACUCGGAGCAAAUAGACAAGCAGCGUCACGAAAACGGCCAGAACCAUGUUUCGGUGAUGGUAGAAUAUCGCCCGGGCGCAAGAUUACGGAGAAAGAUCGCCGCGAAUAUGCAUUAUUUGUUCAAAUAGAUCCGAGAAUAAAGUAAAUCAAAUUGAAUUUGUUUUCUUUUUUUGUAAUAGAAAUAAACAAAAAAAAACACACAUUUUAAACAAAUUGUCGGUAAAUCCUGGUUAUACUAGGUUAGAUAUUUCUAACUUAUACUGAAUUUCGUUUUUAUCUAAGUUAUACUAGGUCAGUUUAGGCUGCAUUUAAACGGAGCCUGGGGUCAACCAGGCGAAAUUGAUUCAGUGUGGGAUGUAUACUAUUUAGUAUAGAUUUUUUUCU